UCUUCGUCCCGAUUACCCGAUUCCUCUCAGCCUCUCCUUCACAUGUCUUCUUCGCUCAACGCCACACCGGCCUACAUCGGGCACCCGUUGCCAUCAGCCCUUCUUCGGCCACAAGUGAGGGUGUCGAUCUACCUGUGCACUAUUUCCCUAUCGACUAUAUCGAGUCCAACCGAUCGUUUCUUCUCCACCGCAGCCACUUCCGUGCCCUAUCUUCGAUCCGUUGCCAUCGCACCUCCGCACCUCCCACCCCUAGAGUCCCUAUUCCAGACUGAGGGGCCAUCGCCAGUUGCUAUGGGUUGGCACCUACUUCGCCUCUCACUUAAGUGCCACAGAUGCCGCCCCACCAUCGGCGAUUGUCAUUGCCAAAAGGAGGGAACAACACAAAGUGACUAGGGCUGCUCUUUCCUCUCGACCACGGACUUGAGCAGAGCAAGGGUUGCUACUAUUCGGAGAGGCAUCGACACUAGUCUCUUGUUCCCCUGCUCAUUGCCACACUACCCUAGCCGGAAACCCCUCUGUUUUUUAGCAACCAAAGUCGGCACCGCAUCCGAUCAACCAAUGCCGCCCAACCUGUCAGUGCAGCUCUAAGCCCUUGUGACCAUAAUGACUUGGGGUACAGCCGAUAGUUCAGUAGUCAUCCUCAUUGACCAGGACAACCAUCAGUGAUGCCAUAUUCCCUUCGGAUUUGAUGAGGGGAGUUCUAUUUCCUCACUGUUUCAUCCGAAAUCUUCACCGAGCAUGGUAGAUCUAAUUAAGGUAAGAUCUGAUCAAUGUCCGAUAACGGAGUAUUUAUUCCAUUUCUGAAUUAGAUUGGUUAUUUGAUUAAGGAUUUGGUUAGGUUAUGCUAAGUGACAUAUUGGUGGAGAUCUAAUUUCUAUUUUCAGUAUUGGGAUGUUGUGAUUAGUUGCUUGUCAUCUUUUGUAGCUCCAGUCAUCCUUGUUUGUAGGCGAUCCACAUCUUGGACCACUAUUUUUUAGUCAUGAAUUCCUCCAGUCAUAACUUGCCAGUGAACAUCUUUGAAUUUGGGACUCUUGAUUCGAGUCAAGCAUCUCAACGUGGGGACUCAAUUAGCAUGAGCCACUUUCGAGAUAGUGGAUUUGUUGUGUUGCGCAGAGGUCCUGGCUGCCAGUUCCACAUCACACUCGAGAUCAUAUUUUUCCACGUUAUGUUUUGCUACUAUGUAUUUACACUUGAUUUUGCUUGUGGAUUUUAGUUUUAUAGUAUACUUUUAUUCGGUUGUGAUA